UCCGGACUGUUCGGGUGCCGUAAAACGCAUCUGUUCGGAAAGGGAGAUAUCAUACACCCUAUGUUUAUUUACUUUUGUUGCUUUGGCGGGCCGUCCUUUUAGGCAUCGGCCCUGGCUGAUCGUGCCCGCCAGAGGACCUAAACUCUUCUAUCAGUGAUGUCUGAGUACUAUAUAAUAGUUAAAACUUUCAACAACGGAUCUCUUGGUUCUGGCAUCGAUGAAGAACGCAUCGAAAUGCGAUAAGUAAUGUGAAUUGCAGAAUUCAGUGAAUCAUCGAAUCUUUGAACGCACAUUGCGCCCGCUGGUAUUCCGGCGGGCAUGCCUGUUCGAGCGUCAUUAUGACCAAUCAAGCUCUGCUUGGCUUUGGGGCCCGCUGUACCGGCGGCCCUUAAAAUCAGUGGCGGUGCCGUCUGGCUCUAAGCGUAGUAAUACUUCUCGCUACAGGGUCCAGGCGUCCACCCGUCAGAACCCUCAACUUUCUUAGGUUGACCUCGGAUCAGGUAGGGAUACCCGCUGAACUUAAGCAUAUCA
rnacentral:rRNA from 1 species